UUUGGGCAUGGCAGCUGUUUGUAC
rnacentral:misc_RNA from 1 species